CAGGCCUUGACAUCCAAUGAACUUUCCAGAGAUGGAUUGGUGCCGUCGGGAACAUUGAGACAGGUGCUGCAUGGCUGUCGUCAGCUCGUGUCGUGAGAUGUUGGGUUAAGUCCCGCAACGAGCGCAACCCUCGCGGUUAGUUGCCAUCAUUCAGUUGGGCACUCUAAUCGGACUGCCGGUGCUAAGCCGGAGGAAGGUGGGGAUGACGUCAAGUCCUCAUGGCCCUUACGGGGUGGGCUACACACGUGCUACAAUGGCGACUACAGAGGGCAAAUCCCUAAAAGUCGUCUCAGUUCGGAUCGUCCUCUGCAACUCGAGGGCGUGAAGUUGGAAUCGCUAGUAAUCGCGGAUCAGCAUGCCGCGGUGAAUACGUUCCC
rnacentral:rRNA from 1 species